rnacentral:lncRNA from 1 species
CAAAUACAUAAAUUUCGUUUCAAGUCAGGCAUGCACAUAGAAACACCAUCACAAUCUAUUGUUUAGAGUUAAGAUAGAUCGGCAAUCACACAUAUAACAUCAUGUGAAAUACAACCAUAUACACUAUCAACAGAUAUACUAUCAACUUUACUACCAACUUUUACACAUUCAAUCUGUCCAUAAAGAUCCUUAUUCUGUUGCUCUAUACGCUAGGCUUGGAAACCAGCAACUCCGAUCCCGACUCCAUUCCUACAUCGUCUGUGAACAAUAGAGGGUGAGUUCAUAUAACUCAGUACAGUAAAAAUUAAGUUACAAUUAUGAUAUGCAUCAAAUAUGAAAUCCAGUAUUUCUAUAUGUACCCCAUCACCCAACCUAAGCCUACCUUGUCAUCACUAUGGGAUUACGCAUGACUAAAACG